rnacentral:rRNA from 1 species
CAUAAACGUUGGCGGCGUGGAUUAGGCAUGCAAGUCGUGCGAGAACCGUAGCAAUACGGGGACAGCGGCGAAAGGGAGAGGAACACGUGGAUACCUACCCUCGGGUCCAGGAUAGCUGUGGGAAACUACAGGUAAUACUGGAUGACAUCUCCGGAUCAAAGGUGUGAUUCCGCCCGGGGAGGGGGCCGCGUCCUAUUAGCUUGUUGGUGAGGUAACGGCCCACCAAGGCAAAGAUGGGUAUGGGGUGUGAGAGCAUGCCCCCACUCACUGGGACUGAGACACUGCCCAGACACCUACGGGUGGCUGCAGUCGAGAAUCUUCGGCAAUGGGCGCAAGCCUGACCGAGCGACGCCGCGUGCGGGAUGAAGGCCUUCGGGUUGUAAACCGCUGUCAGAGGGGAGGAAAUGCCGGUGGGUUCUCUCAUCGGUUUGACCUAUCCUCAGAGGAAGGACGGGCUAAGUUCGUGCCAGCCGCCGCAGUAACAC